rnacentral:sRNA from 1 species
CAUGAAAAAGCGGCGGCGGCGGGAGAGAGGAGGAGGCGGCGGCGGGGCAGUGAAACUACGGUAGCUGCCCCCUGAGCUGGUGGUGUGGCUUUGUUGGGAGGGCGUAGUUCCUAAUCCCCUUUCCGGGCAGCCGCCGGGGCUCGGGGCUGUGAGCGGCCGUCAGGCUGCCUCCCCGGGCCCCCUGCCUCCGCCAUGUUCCGCAGGGCACGCCUUAGCGUGAAGCCGAAUGUCAGGCCUGGUGUAGGCACCAGGGGCUCCACAGCUUCCAAUCCCCAGCGUGGACGGGAGUCUCCCAGGCCGCCGGAGCCUGCCACGGACUCUGCUUCCAAGCCCGCGGAGCCCACAGAUGUGCCCACAGUCGAUUUCGGUGGAGCGGAGCCCCAAGAAAAGACUCCUAGGAGCAGUACUGAAAAGACUGGUGGUGACAAUGAUGUUGAAGAAUCCAGUAGAUCUUCCUCUACUGUUUCACAGAGAAGAAAGCGAAUAUCAAGUACUUCUAGUCUGGUUAAGUCUAGUGUCAGUGUUCCUUCAGAAUCUCAUCCCUUACCUACAAUUAAUCAAGAGGCUCCACAGCCAACUGCCACUUCAACAAAAGAGAAACAGCCAUGCUCAGACAGAUACCGAAUAUACAAAGCCCAGAAACUGAGGGAAAUGUUAAAAGAAGAAUUGAGAAAAGAGAAGAAACAAUGGAAAAACAAAUAUGCUAUAAAUGAAAGUCAGAGGCCACCAGAUCGUUCAAAAAUGACUAUGAGAGACUUCAUAUAUUAUCUACCAGAUAAUAAUCCAAUGACUUCUUCACUGGAACAAGAAAAGAAAACUGAAAAGCCAUCGACUCCAGUCCAGACAAGAGAGCAAGAAGGUAAGAGUACUCCUAAUGCUGAAGAUAAUGAAAUGGAAGAAGAGACAGAUGAUGGGCCAUUACUGGUUCCUCGAGUAAAAGUGGCAGAAGAUGGUUCCAUUAUUUUGGAUGAAGAAAGUUUAACUGUAGAAGUUUUAAGAACAAAAGGCCCUUGUGUUGUUGAAGAAAAUGACCCCAUAUUUGAGCGCGGUUCUACAACUACAUACUCCAGCUUUAGGAAAAACUAUUACUCUAAACCAUGGUCAAAUAAAGAAACAGAUAUGUUUUUUUUAGCCAUCAGCAUGGUAGGAACUGACUUUUCUAUGAUCGGACAACUUUUUCCUCACAGAGCAAGGAUAGAAAUUAAGAAUAAAUUUAAACGGGAAGAGAAAACAAAUGGAUGGAGAAUAGACAAAGCAUUCCAGGAAAAGCGCCCUUUUGACUUCGAUUUUUUUGCUCAUUUGCUUCAGAAAGUUCUUGCUGAAGAAGAGAAAAGAAAACAAAAAUCUGUUAAAAAUCAAAGUUUAAAGGAGAAGAAAUCCACCAAACCACGGAAAAAUGUAAAAGUGAAAAAAGUUGCCUGUGAAGCCGUGAAUAAUGAUCCAGAUGAGUCUAUGAGUUCUAGAAUUUCAGACACAGAAAGAUCUCAGAAGGAUGCUCAGACAGUUGAAGAAGAGUCUCUGACCUUAUCAAGGGAGGAUGCAGAGCAGGUUGCAUUAGAAGUAGACCUAAAUCAAAAGAAAAGAAGGAGGAAGAAGCAAGAUGGAGCUAAUGAACUGGGAGUAAACAAUCUUUUAGAAAAUGCCACUGUUCAGGCGGGUCCUUCUAGAGGAGAAAAACACAAGAAUAAAUGUCAGGCUAUAAGGCCUGAGCUAAAGGAAGGUGAAUGCAGUAAGGAGCAGAUGCUUUCCUGCACACAAAACAUAGAUGGCAUUGUGGGUUUUGCCUCCACUGAAAAAGUUGAGAAAAGAACUGACCCCAUCCUUUCAUUAAGUAAUCAACAAGAUGCCACAUCAGUAGCAACUGAGUCUUCAGAAUCAAGCACUUCAGAUUUGCCUUCAUUCGAAGUUGGAAUUAGAGCAUUGUGUGAGGUGAAUAAUGCUGAGGGUAGUUGUAUAGAAGAAAGAAAUGUUGACCUAAAAAAUAAUUCACUGGAAAUUGAUCAAACAGAAAAUGUUAAACCAAUGUUGAGAGGUCGCUUCCAGAGACCUAAACCCAAUUUGUCAAGGGCUGGGAAGAAAUCAGUUCUUUCACAAGGCAAAACAGAGUCAGAGAGCAAGAAUUCACAUUCAAAAACUUCAGUUGAAAAGAACCACGUGGAAAAAGAUAAAAUGAAUACAUUGGACAUUUUGAGAAUGGAGACUGCAGAGAGAGAGAAUCCAGAAGCUGAAACUGUAUCUGUUUUGGGUGAAAAAAAUUGUCUGCAGGAAGGGAGUCAACUAAAGGCUUUAAGACCUGCACAAGUGAGGGGCCGAUUGCAAAAGCCAAAGCCAAAUGCAGGUAAAGCUGCCGAAAGAAAAGAAAUUCUCAUAUCACAGGAAGAAAUUGGGGCCAAUGUAGAGAAGAAUGAAAAUGAAUCCUGUGCUGAUAGAGAUACUCCUCAACACAUGGAAGAUCAAUCACGUAAAGAUUUUGAAGAGGAAGAUGUCAUAUUACAGCCUGAGAAAAAUGAUUCUUUUCAAAAUGUGCAGCCAGAUGAGCCCAAGGUUCUUAAUGAAUGUCUAAGCGUUCAAGAGAAUAAUAAGGCAAAUAAACUUAACCAAGUCCCAAUUCUAAGGACUCGAUUUCAGAAACCAAAGCCAAAUAUAGGAAGAGGAACUGGAAGGAGAGAAAUUUCCUCAAAGGAAGAGGUACUAGAGAAGAUUCUUGUCUCUGGGGAAAUGGUGGCAGCAUUGAGAGAAACCGUAAGACUAGACACCUCACCAAAGGAGAUGGUACCAGCAGAGAUUAAUACUAAAGAAAUGCAGUCAGAUUUAAAAGAAACUGGAAGAAGAGCCAUUUCUCCCAGGGAGAAGAUUCUAGAUGUGAUUGAUGUCACCAUGGAAAUGGAGACAGGUCUGAAAGCAAUGGGAAGAGAGAUUUGUCUAAGGGAGAAGACGCCAGAGGUGGUUGAUGCCACUGAGGAAAUAGACAAAGAUUUGGAAGAAGCUGGAAGAAGAGAAAUAUCCCCACAGAAAAAUGGCCCAGAGGAGGUUAAGCCUCUAGGUGAAAUGGAGACAGAUUUGAAAGCAACUGGAAAUGAGAGUUCCCCAAGGGAGAAGACACCAGAGAUGACUGAUGCCACUGAGGAAAUAGACAAAAAUUUGGAAGAAACUGGAAGAAGAAAAAUAUCCCCAAGGGAAAAUGGCCCAGAGGAGGUCAAGCCUGUAGAUGAAAUGGAGACAGAUUUGAACGCAACUGGAAGAGAGAGUUCUCCAAGGGAGAAGACACCAGAGGUGAUUGAUGCUACUGAGGAAAUAGAUUUGGAAGAAACUGAAAGAGAAGUAUCCCCACAGGAAAAUGGACUAGAGGAGGUCAAGCCUCUAGGUGAAAUGGAGACGGAUUUGAAAGCAACUGGAAGAGAGAGUUCCCCAAGGGGGAAGACACCAGAGGUGAUUGAUGCCAUUGAGGAAAUAGAGAUAGAUUUGGAAGAAACUGAAAGAGAAAUAUCCCCACAGGAAAAUGGCCUAGAGGAGGUUAAGCCUCUAGGUGAAAUGCAAACAGAUUUGAAAGCAACCGGAAGGGAGAUUUCCCCAAGGGAGAAGACACCAGAGGUGAUUGAUGCCACUGAGGAAAUAGACAAAGAUCUGGAAGAAACUGGAAGAAGAGAAAUAUCCCCAGAGGAAAAUGGCCCAGAGGGGGUCAAGCCUGUAGAUGAAAUGGAGACAGACUUGAAAGCAACUGGAAGAGAGAGUUCCCCAAGGGAGAAGACACGAGAGGUGAUUGAUGCUGCUGAGGUAAUAGAGACAGAUUUGGAAGAAACUGAAAGAGAAAUAUCGCCACAGGAAAAUGGCCCAGAGGAGGUCAAGCCUGUAGGUAAAAUGGAGACAGAUUUGAAAGAAAUUAGAGAAGAAAUUUCCCAAAGGGAAAAGGUGCUAGCAGAGAUCAGUGCUAUAAGGGAAAAGGAGAUUGAUUUGAAAGAAACUGGAAAAAGAGACAUUCCCAUGAUGGAGAAAGUAUCAGGAAAGAUGGCUGUUGUUGAAGAAAUGGAGGCAGAUUUGAAAGAAACUGGAAAAGAAAAUUUUAGAGAGAGAGGAUCUGAAGAGAUCUGUGUUACUGAGGAAAAGGUGGCAGAAUUGAAACAAACUGGAAAAACAGACAUUUCUCCAAGGGAAAACGAGCUAGAGGAGACCAGUACCUCAAGACAAACUGACACACAUUUAAUGCAGAGCGGUAGCAAUGACUGCAGUGCUAUGCCUUCACUAGAUAUUCAAAACAUUAGCAGUGAAGUACUGUCGAUGAUGCAUACACCUGUAGAAGAAAAAAGAAAUUCUGAAAAAGAAGUAUCAAGUCACUUCAGUCAUUUCAAGAUUUCUUCACAGACUCAUGAAUCUGAUAAAACAGAAGUCCAGGGGAUUCAAUCUCCAGAUGUUCCAGAGCAGUUUUCAGAUAUUAAUUUAAGCAAAUCUCUUCCUCAAGAACAGAAGCCACUUGAAAUUAAACCAGCACCUUUUGUGAGGAGCCGAUUCAAAAGACCAAAACCAAACUUAGCAAGAGCAGCUUUGAAGAGAGAGACUACAGAAUCAGAAAAAUAUAUAUAUGAGAAGAAAUCAGAAACCAAGAAAAUGGAGACUAUUGUGAUGCAAGAAAAUAAUGAACAAACCGAAACUCUCCCUUCUCAACAUGAUGAAGCUUCCCUAAUGAUAUCAAGAGAAAAAGACACAUCAGGUCACAGGAAUGAGGAGGCUGUGAUAUUGCCAUGUACACAGACUGAAAGGAACCUUUCACCUUCAAAUUCUUGUGAACCUAAAGAGGAGUCUCAGUCAGCACCAGUCCAGAAAAAUGACUCAGUUGUUUCUGUGGGGACUAAUAAUAUAAACACUUUCCAGCAAGAAAUGAAGGAAAGUGUUAUCCAAACUGCUCGACAAGUAAAGGGCCGACUUCAGAGACCGAGACCAAAUAUAAGAAAGACAGGACAGAGGCAAAUAGUAGACAAAGGUGAAGCCAAAGGCAUAAUUAAGGAAGGAAGAACGAUAUUAUCAAAAGAUGAAACCGAAAAGAAAGUCUUAACUGUGUCAGAUUCUCAAAUUGAAACUGAAAUUGAAGUUCCAUCCUCCGCAGUUCCAGAACACAGAAUGUAUGAAAAUCAAAGUCAGGUGGUUCUUGUAGAAAACCUUCAUGUUAACAAAACAAAUGAAACAAUCAGACAUGAAAAUAAACCGUAUGUUCCUAGUUCAGCACAAAUGACAAGAAGGAAAUUCCAAAAGGCUAAGCCAAAUUUGGGAAGAGCACACAGUAAGAAAGAGGAACCAGUUUUAGAAAAAGGCACAACAGAUCAGAGCAAGGAAGGCAAGCCAGAAGAUCAUUUGCUGCAGAAAGGAGCUUCCAACACCCAGCUCCUUCUAAAAGAAAAAGCUGAGCUUCUGACAUCUCUGGAGGUUUCAGCAAGAAAAGAUUGUGUAGGUUCCAAAGAGUCUGCUUUGGCAAAAAUAGAUGCGGAAUUAGAAGAAGUUGGACCAUCAAGAAGGGUUGGAGAGGAAACUGUAGGAGAUAAUUCACCAUCUUCAGUUGUUGAAGAGCAAUAUCUCAAUGAACUAGCAAGCUGUCCACAACCGUUAAAAGAAACAAGUUACUCUAAAAUUGCCCUGGAUGGGAAAACAACUAUCUCUUCUACAUCUGAGUAUGAGAGAAAUCGUGGUGAAAGGAGAAGUCAUAAAAAGAUCAAACCAAAUGUCACCAGAGGUCGUGGAUCAAAACGAGUUCGGGGUAAGACCCCUAAGAAGGAACCUAGAGCUUCCAAGGCCAUGCUGGUGACUCUUCGGGCUUCCCAGGAAGAAGAAGAUGAUGCUGACGAUUUUGAGUCUGACUAUGAAGAAGAAAGCUAUCAUCUUGCUCCCGAAGAAGUAAACAAAGCUCCAGUAUUUGUACCUGUUGGUCUCAGAUCUCCUGAACCUGUUUCUGCUCAGAUUGAGGAAACAAUGGAAGAGCUUGAAAUAACUGUGAAUGUCCCAGAUGUAGGAUGCAUAGCUGUUGUUGAACAUGAGCUACCAAACACAGAUGUGACUACUGAAGAAAUGAAACAAGAAGAAAAUUUGAGUGCACCGUUUGAAAUGACCACAAGUGAACAUAUCCAAGAUGAACCAGGUACCAAUGAUGGAAGCACCGAAGCUGCAAUAACUUUACUUACAAUGGGAGAUCUAGUAUUGCAGUCAGAGAUCAGUAGUGAACAGGGUGAUGUAGGAGUAUGUAUACUUCCUCAUGUUCAUUCAAAGGAUAAAAGCCAUAUUCCUUCUAGCCUAGAUAAUGUAAAUCACAAAAUUGUUCAUGAAUGUCAGGAACUUUCUUCACCUGUCAUUACUACAUCUCCUGCAUCAUUUGAAGAAAACAAGAUUGUAUUGGAGGAACAAAGUUCCAAAGAAGAAAUAAGUUUAAUGGAGAAAGUAAAGGAGAAUGCUACACCAACCAGGAAUACAAUUUCUAAAGUGACCAGUAAUUUGAGAAUAAGAAGUAGGCUUGCUAGGCCUAAACCAAAUCUUGAGAAGACUUUAGGGACCAACAGACUUGAUGAUUAUCAGAAAGUUUCCAGUUUGUGUGUAACCAAAGGGGCAGAAAUGGAAACUCAAAGAGAAACAGAGAAAAAUGCUUCCAAAGCAACAGAAUUGGAAAAUAAAAACCUCGGACCAGUUACAACAGCAGAGAAUAAGGAUCAGAGCAAAUUGGCAUGUGUACAUGGUAUCAAAGGGACCAGUAUUUCUUCAGAAGUAAACCUAACUGAAAGAAACGAAAAUCAAGAAGAGAGCUCUCAGGAGGUUCACAUGUUGUCAGUUGCUCCAGUUGCUUCCUCUGAGACAGGGCCCUGCACACUUGGUUUGGAUAGGGGUCUUGGUGAAAAUUCUGUUGAAGAGCCCCAGAUAAAGGACUCUAAAGGAGACAGUGUGCUUACACUUCCUGUGCCAGAGGUAAAAGAAUGUACAGUAUAAUAAGGGAUAGCAAGGUGUUUUCCUCCAUUAAAAAAAAAAAAAGGUAUAAUUUACAUACAAUAAACUUCACCUCUUUUAUCUUCAUUUUUCUUUAUUUCUUUUUUUUUUUUUUGGAGACAGUCUUGUUCUGUUGCCCAGGCAAGAGUGCAGUGGUAUGAUCUCAGCUCACUGCAACCUCUGCCACCCAGAUUCAACAGAUUCUCCUGCCUCAGCCUGCCAAGUAGCUGGGACUACAGGCA